rnacentral:pre_miRNA from 1 species
UUAGUACUCCCUCCAUUCCAAAAUUCUUGUCUUAGAUUUGUCUAGAUAUGGAUGUAUCUAAUACUAAAAUGUGACUUGAUACAUCCGUAUUUAGACAAAUUUAAGACAAGAAUUUUGGGACGGAGGGAGUACUUC